UGUCAGUAGUUUUAAUGCAUGAAAACAAACUAGAAGUGUGUCGUUGCAGACGGGUUGCAUUUUUUAGUUUUAUAUAUGUUAAAUCACGUCUGUGAUCUUUUUUAAAUGGCCUCGAGCAGCAGAUAAACAUGGAUUCUAACGGAUGAUCAGCUUCCCAACUGAAGGGAAUAAGGGAUGUGUUUGGAGCAUCACACUCAUCCGGCAGAAGCAUGUGGACAGACAUUGACAGUAAUGAUGGUCAUCUGCUGAUGGACAGAUAUGACUGAAUCUUUCUCUGUGUCUCAGAUGAGGAGGAUGUGAAGCUCAGGACGGGUCAUCAUAUCAACACAUCAAUCUACAGACAAACAUCACAUUUGAAUAAAGAUUUAAUGAUGAA